CGCCUGGAGCCACGUCCUGGUUCAUGACGGGCAGGCCCGAGACUCGGUGAAUGAAGAGUUCCUGCGGAUCACAACAGAACCUCUGCAAACAAAGUUUGCAGAACUCUUCCUAAUCUUUGAGAGCCAAGGAGGUGUGAAAGGACAGAAGAUAAAAAGGAUCCUGGCGAUCAAAGAUGAGCGUGACGACAUCGAAAUCAGGAGGGAGUGUGUCCUUAAAAGCCUGAUAAUAUAUCUCAAUGAAGUCCCGACUCCCUCUUCAAAGAAUACCUGCCAUCUGCUGCUGAGGAUGCAGAGAACGACAUUGUCGACAGUCAUCGGCAUUCACACAGUCCGUCAGUUUGAGGAGCCAGAUGACAUCAGAGUAGUCAUUGAAGGAGUGAAAGUCCUCCAAAAAGUGCUACAAUGGCUUUCAUCAUGCUGUUUGGGCUGAUCUAUGCUCUGGAUCUCAGUUUCCCAGACAAGCUGAAAUACACUUUUGAGUUUGUCCAGAAAAUACUCGUGAAUCUUGAUGGAGACAGGCUCAACAAGAAAAUACAGUAGUUGAAAAUCAAGCUGUUCAUGUGAAAGGAGGAACGGGUGACCAAGAACACUGGGAC
ensembl:lncRNA